rnacentral:tRNA from 1 species
UCCCUGGUGGUCCUCUGGUUAGGACUCCUUGCUCUCACUGAUGAGGGCCUAAGUUCAAUUCCUGGUCAGGGAA